rnacentral:lncRNA from 13 species
UUUUACUGUGACACAAAGAAUAGAUAAUUGUGUACGGUGCAAUAAAUGUUAAGAACACACACACACACACACACACACACACACACACACACACACACACACACACACACACACACACACACACAUACACACAAAACAGUGUUGCCCAUUUAGGUUUGAAAAAAUACAAAAAGCAAUUACUUAUCUUAUAGCAAUACUUUUAAUUAUUAUUUGUAUGAUAACCAGUAUAAAAUAUAAUUUUUGCAGUAAUUAUUCACCAGCAAGUGGUACUGGAGUGCCAAGUCUAGGACCGAAAGGCUCUGACCCCCAAGCCAUCAGACUUCUGAAUAAUUAAUAAAAUGUCCCCCCCCAUUGUUUUGUACACUACUGCUACUAGCUGUUUAUUAUCUAUGCAUGGUCACUUCACCCCUACCUACAUGUACAAAUUACCUUGACUAACCUGUACCCCCAUUGAAUCGGUAGCGGUACCCCCUGUAUAUAGCCUCAUUUUGUUUUGUUGUGCUAAUUUUGUAUUUUUUUAACUUUUGUUUAUUUGGUGAAUAUUUUCUUAACUCUUUCUUGAACUGCACUGUUGGUUGAGGGCUUGUAAGUAAUCAUUUCACGGUAAGGUCUACACAUGUUGUAUUCAGCGCAUGUGACAAAUAAAGUUUGAUUUGAUUUUGAUACAGGACAUUUAUUCUGAAGGAUUCCAAAAGUCCUGACCCGGAAGCACUUAGUAGUUCUUGGCUGUAUCACAGUGGUUUCAGGUUGAAGCUCACAUCAAUGCCAUUGUUAACUGGCUACUAGUUAACUAUUUAUAGUUGUAUUAUCCUCAGCUACAUCUUAUCUCAUAACCACGCCAACCUAAAACAGCGGUACAUAUGGAGCUGACAUGGGAGGACGUCCCGCUCCCAGCCCCAGACGGUCUAUUAUUUAACAAAGACCUAUAUGAUAAGUACUCCCUGGCGCCGACCAUCAAGGGACUGUGGGCUAUCGCUGUUGUAAGGUACAGUAUGCAGCUAGCGUCAGUGGCUACCUAACGUAGCGUCAGUGGCUACCUAACGUAGCGUCAGUGGCUACCUAACGUAGCGUCAGUGGCUACCUAACGUCAGUGGCUACCUAACGUGGCUACCUAACGUAGCGUCAGUGGCUACCUAACGUAGCGUCAGUGGCUACCUAACGUAGCGUCAGUGGCUACCUAACGUAGCGUCAGUGGCUACCUAAGGUAGCGUCAGUAGCUACCUAACUUGGAGUCAGUGGCUACCUAACUUGGAGUCAGUAGCAACCUAACUUGGAGUCAGUAGCUACCUAACGUGGCGUCAGUGGCUGCCUAACGUGGCGUCAGUGGCUGCCUAACGUGGCGUCAGUGGCUACCUAACGUGGCGUCAGUGGCUACCUAACGUGGCGUCAGUGGCUACCUAACGUGGCGCCAGUGGCUACCUAACGUGGCGUCAGUGGACAGCAGAUUGAGGGGAGUUUUAUCUCAUUGUUAGAACUGGUANNNNNNNNNNGUGGCUACCUAACGUAGCGUCAGUGGCUACCUAACGUAGCGUCAGUGGCUACCUAACGUAGCGUCAGUGGCUACCUAACGUAGCGUCAGUGGCUACCUAAGGUAGCGUCAGUAGCUACCUAACUUGGAGUCAGUGGCUACCUAACUUGGAGUCAGUAGCAACCUAACUUGGAGUCAGUAGCUACCUAACGUGGCGUCAGUGGCUGCCUAACGUGGCGUCAGUGGCUGCCUAACGUGGCGUCAGUGGCUACCUAACGUGGCGUCAGUGGCUACCUAACGUGGCGUCAGUGGCUACCUAACGUGGCGCCAGUGGCUACCUAACGUGGCGUCAGUGGACAGCAGAUUGAGGGGAGUUUUAUCUCAUUGUUAGAACUGGUAA